UUGGCAGGACAGAUGAACCGUCUCUAUUUGAUGGACUGUUCAUUGCCCAGGACAGUUAAGUGUCUGCCUUUGUCGACAAAAUCAGGAGCCAAAUGACGAGUAAAAGUGGCCGUGAUGUUUGUGGACCGGCAACAUUCACAGCUUGCAGAGAAACCUCACUCAAAUCCAGCGCCAAGGUGGAUGAGGAAGGCCUGCAAAUAGCUGUGUGCAGACAUGGCAUCUUGCUACAAGGCCUAAAUCACUACCGGGGUGAAAUAUAUGUCUACCCAAUGUUCCUGCAGAAGGAGCUGGCUGAAGUUGCGAAUGCAACAUUCUUUUAUAUGGAGGUCGCCUGCAGGUACUGGUCUUAUUUAGAGAAGAUGGCAGCGAAGUUCCCUGAGCUCCAACCACUUACAGAGAUGAAACCUUUUCUCUCUGUAAUGCACGCCAAGGCCCACACAGGCAAAUGCGAGGUGAAGUGGGGUGGCAGAAGCCUGGAAGGUGCUGGAAAUACUGUCGGCGACGAAGUGGAACAGGUUAACAGCUUCCUCUCAAGGGCAGCUCUGACAACAAAAUACAUGACCAAAUCAGCUAGAGCAGAUAUGAUAACCGUGCUGGCUAUGCAAUGGAACCACAGGAAGGUAGAGAAUCUCCACAAGACACUGGCAAAGAGAUUUGUCAAAACUACACAGAGAGCACAAACUGAAGUGGACAAUCUUGUCUCAAGCAAGAGCUGAACAUCUCCCUGGAGGACACGGAGCAGUGGAUGUUGGAGGUCAAGCAAUGGGCAGCCACUGGAGAAACAUGGAGCCCAAAGUAGCCAGGAGGAGCUCCAGAGAGAAAUUGAUUAAAUGAUUUAUUCCCUCCGAAGAAAGAAACACGAUCUCUAUCGACAAAAUGCCCCAUCAGCUACACUGAAGGAAACUUCAGAUUAGAUACAUACCAUCCAGAGUAAGGUUGCCACAUCACCAACACCUCGGUAUGGCCCUGAGUAAAGAAAGACAGUUUCUCCAAGCGAUAUAACAGAAGAGGGGUACAGGGGACUGCACUGCUGUCUUUUACACCAUCGAUACCUUCUGGAGCAGAAACUGAGCAGAGUCACCAGCACCUACACCUGUAUUGGCACGGACUCGUCUUUUCUCAUGAUGGAGGAAUACAUUGAAGACGGUGAUGAGGACAACGAACAGGAUGGUGAUGAGGACGGUGACGAGGACAACGAACAGGACAAUGAACAGGACCACUAACAGGACUUUUAGAUAUUGUUCUGUGUACAAAAGUUGACAUCUUACAGAGGACUUAAGUUGUGCUCAGGCAGGGCCAUAGAGAACCGCAGUGACGCGUCCUUAAACCCGGAAGUAAACUUCUUCCGGUUCCUUAGACAAAAAAGCAAUGCAAUUUCUCCAUAGGAUUUUGGAAAAUAGCUCGAAAUACUGUAAGGUCUGUGGUUGACACACAGUUAAGAGACGGAUCACGUUUUGUUCAGCCGGAUAAUCUCCACAUGUCUACCCUACUUUUAUAAUUUUCAAAUCAUAAAUCUAAUCGAUAGAUUUAUGAUUCGAUAGAUUUAUGAUUCAAAAAUUAUAAGAGAUGGGUAACUAUUAUUAUUUUUAAAUGUCACUGCCAAGAAUAGGAAUUCACGUACAAAUGAUUACAAGAAAAAAUGUAAUAUAAAAAUAAAUGGCUGGACAUGACGCAUUAAUGCGACAACAUGAAGCAUUACACAAGUACCUCAACCUUAAAUGAAUAAUAAAUUAUUGUUACUGUAAUUUCAAUAUUUACAUUAGCAGUCAUGCUUAAGACUGAAACACUCCUUUUAAACAAAGCAUACGAAAAUCCAAUAAGAUAAGAUAAAACUUGGUUCCAUGGAAGCAUUAUUGUCAUUGUUUAUUUAUAUAUUUUUUUUAAAUAUUUUCUAAAACAAACCUCCCUGAUUCUUUCCCUCAGUACUUUUUUGCAGGGGAAAGUGGCUGACCCUUGAUGAAUGGGACAUUCUGCAAGGAAUUAAAAGAUGACACUGAGGACACAGUAGGAGUCAGGCCGGAGGACACAGGAGGAGUCAGGCCGAAGGACAGAGCUGGAGUUAGGCUGGAGGACACACGAGGAGAUUGGCCGGAGGACACAGGAGGAGUCAAGC